rnacentral:rRNA from 1 species
GAUCUCCUACGGGGGGCAGCAGUGGGGGAUAUUGCACAAUGGGCGAAAGCCUGAUGCAGCGACGCCGCGUGAGGGAAGACGGUCUUCGGAUUGUAAACCUCUGUCUUUGGGGAAGAAGAUGACGGUACCCAAAGAGGAAGCUCCGGCUAACUACGUGCCAGCAGCCGCGGUAAUACGUAGGGAGCGAGCGUUGUCCGGAAUUACUGGGUGUAAAGGGAGCGUAGGCGGGGAUGCAAGUUGGAUGUUUAAACUAUCGGCUCAACCGGGAAUUGCAACCAAAACUGACACUCUUGAUUGAAGUAUAG